rnacentral:rRNA from 1 species
GAUGAACGCUGGCGGCGUGCCUAAUACAUGCAAGUCGAGCGAACGGACGAGAAGCUUGCUUCUCUGAUGUUAGCGGCGGACGGGUGAGUAACACGUGGAUAACCUACCUAUAAGACUGGGAUAACUUCGGGAAGCCGGAGCUAAUACCGGAUAAUAUUUUGAACCGCAUGGUUCAAAAGUGAAAGACGGUCUUGCUGUCACUUAUAGAUGGAUACGCGCUGCAUUAGCUAGUUGGUAAGGUAACGGCUUACCAAGGCAACGAUGCAUAGCCGACCUGAGAGGGGGAUGCGCCCCCAUGGAAAGGGAAACACGACCAAGACUCUGCGGGGGGCACGAAGAAGAAAUUUUCCGGAAAGGGCGGAAGGCAGAAGGAGAAAAGGCGCGGGAGUGAGGAAAGGCUUCGGAUCGUAAAACCUUGUUAUUAUGGAAAAACAUAUGAGUAAGGAACGGGACAACACUGGACGGUACCUAAGAAAAAGGCCACGGCUAACCACGG